rnacentral:rRNA from 1 species
UACGGAAGGGGCAAGCGUUGUUCGGAAUCAUUGGGCGUAAAGGGCGCGUAGGCGGUCGUGACAAGUCACUUGUGAAAUCUCCGGGCUUAACUCGGAACGGUCAAGUGAUACUGUCGGACUAGAGUACAGAAGGGGCAACUGGAAUUCUCGGUGUAGCGGUGAAAUGCGUAGAUAUCGAGAGGAACACCUGCGGCGAAGGCGGGUUGCUGGGCUGAUACUGACGCUGAGGCGCGAAAGCUAGGGGAGCGAACGGG